rnacentral:rRNA from 1 species
UGGCUCAGAUUGAACGCUGGCGGCAGGCCUAACACAUGCAAGUCGAACGGUAGCACAGAGAGCUUGCUCUCGGGUGACGAGUGGCGGACGGGUGAGUAAUGUCUGGGAAACUGCCUGAUGGAGGGGGAUAACUACUGGAAACGGUAGCUAAUACCGCAUAACGUCGCAGGACCAAAGAGGGGGACCUUCGGGCCUCUUGCCAUCAGAUGUGCCCAGAUGGGAUUAGCUAGUAGGUGGGGUAAUGGCUCACCUAGGCGACGAUCCCUAGCUGGUCUGAGAGGAUGACCAGCCACACUGGAACUGAGACACGGUCCAGACUCCUACGGGAGGCAGCAGUGGGGAAUAUUGCACAAUGGGCGCAAGCCUGAUGCAGCCAUGCCGCGUGUAUGAAGAAGGCCUUCGGGUUGUAAAGUACUUUCAGCGGGGAGGAAGGUGUUGUGGUUAAUAACCGCAGCAAUUGACGUUACCCGCAGAAGAAGCACCGGCUAACUCCGUGCCAGCAGCCGCGGUAAUACGGAGGGUGCAAGCGUUAAUCGGAAUUACUGGGCGUAAAGCGCACGCAAGCGGUCUGUCAAGUCGGAUGUGAAAUCCCCGGGCUCAACCUGGGAACUGCAUUCGAAACUGGCAGGCUAGAGUCUUGUAGAGGGGGGUAGAAUUCCAGGUGUAGCGGUGAAAUGCGUAAAGAUUCUGGACGAAUACCGGUGGCGAAUGCGGCCCCCUGGACAAAGACUGACGCUCAGGUGCGAAAGCGUGGGGAGCAAACAGGAUUAGAUACCCUGGUAGUCCACGCCGUAAACGAUGUCGACUUGGAGGUUGUGCCCUUGAGGCGUGGCUUCCGGAGCUAACGCGUUAAGUCGACCGCCUGGGGAGUACGGCCGCAAGGUUAAAACUCAAAUGAAUUGACGGGGGCCCGCACAAGCGGUGGAGCAUGUGGUUUAAUUCGAUGCAACGCGAAGAACCUUACCUACUCUUGACAUCCAGAGAACUUAGCAGAGAUGCUUUGGUGCCUUCGGGAACUCUGAGACAGGUGCUGCAUGGCUGUCGUCAGCUCGUGUUGUGAAAUGUUGGGUUAAGUCCCGCAACGAGCGCAACCCUUAUCCUUUGUUGCCAGCGGUCCGGCCGGGAACUCAAAGGAGACUGCCAGUGAUAAACUGGAGGAAGGUGGGGAUGACGUCAAGUCAUCAUGGCCCUUACGAGUAGGGCUACACACGUGCUACAAUGGCGCAUACAAAGAGAAGCGAACUCGCGAGAGCAAGCGGACCUCAUAAAGUGCGUCGUAGUCCGGAUUGGAGUCUGCAACUCGACUCCAUGAAGUCGGAAUCGCUAGUAAUCGUAGAUCAGAAUGCUACGGUGAAUACGUUCCCGGGCCUUGUACACACCGCCCGUCACACCAUGGGAGUGGGUUGCAAAAGAAGUAGGUAGCUUAACCUUCGGGAGGGCGCUUACCACUUUGUGAUUCAUG